AUUAGAAUCAUGCCAGACAGCUAUGGAA
rnacentral:sRNA from 1 species